UACGUAGGGGGCGAGCGUUGUCCGGAUUUAUUGGGCGUAAAGAGCUCGUAGGCGGUUUGGUAAGUCGGGUGUGAAAACCCCAGGCUCAACCUGGAGACGCCACCUGAUACUGCUGUGGCUAGAGUCCGGUAGGGGAGCAUGGAAUUCCUGGUGUAGCGGUGAAAUGCGCAGAUAUCAGGAGGAACACCAGUGGCGAAGGCGGUGCUCUGGGCCGGAACUGACGCUGAGGAGCGAAAGCGUGGGGAGCAAACAGG
rnacentral:rRNA from 1 species